CGGGGUGUAGCGCAGUUUGGUAGCGCACUUGGUUUGGGACCAAGGGGUCGCAGGUUCGAAUCCUGUCACCCCGACCA
rnacentral:tRNA from 1 species